UAGGUCGGGAAGAUCCUCUGGAGAAGGAAAUGACUACCCACUCCAGUAUUCUUGCCUGGAGAAUCCCAUGGACAGAGGAGCGUGGUGGGCUACCGUCCAUGGGGUUGUAAAGAGUCAAGCACAACUGAACUACUAACACUAUCUUUCAGAGACAUUACUUUGCCAACAAAAGUCAGUCUAGUCAAAG